rnacentral:lncRNA from 1 species
CUGCAUUCCAAGCAGUGCUACUCUGAUUGUUGAAAGAUUGGCUAUUAGUUAUCUAGGGAGUAUAUCUAUGAACAAGUGCAUUCUACUUAGAAAACCUCAUCUAUGUUAUAUUUGAAACUUUCAGUUUAUUUUUAAAGGACAGGAAAGUGUAGGGGGCCAUCCUAUGAGUUUGCUCCUUUCUAGAGGGCGAAUGGGGAAGAAAGACAAAAAGAGUUAGUUUAGAAUGCCGGGACAGGGGCUCUCUGUCUCGAGUUGAACCGGAGCCCUGAGCAUUUGGCUCACCUCACUUUUAUUCACUUGGACACGUCGAACUCGGGACCUUGUGCUUUUGAGGCAGGCAGUGGAACCACUGAGCUAAAUCCCUGGCCCCUAAACCACUACAUGCCGUGGAGAAAGCACUUAAAAAAAAAUAAUUGCUAGCUGG